CCUACGGGAGGCUGCAGUGGGGAAUAUUGCGCAAUGGGCGAAAGCCUGACGCAGCGACGCCGCGUGAGGGAUGAAGGUCUUCGGAUCGUAAACCUCUGUUAGCAGGGAAGAACGGUCCCUGUUCUAAUCAGCAGUGAAUUGACGGUACCUGCAAAGGAAGCACCGGCUAACCCCGUGCCAGCAGCCGCGGUAAGACGGAGGGUGCGAGCGUUAAUCGGAAUUACUGGGCGUAAAGCGCUCGUAGGCGGUAUGUCAAGUCAAGGGUGAAAUCCCCGCGCUCAACGUGGGAACUGCAUUUGACACUGGCAGACUGGAGUGUGUGAGAGGAUAGUGGAAUUCCAGGUGUAGGAGUGAAAUCCGUAGAUAUCUGGAGGAACAUCAGUGGCGAAGGCGACUAUCUGGCACAUAACUGACGCUGAGGAGCGAAAGCGUGGGUAGCAAACAGGAUUAGAUACCCUUGUAGUC
rnacentral:rRNA from 1 species